rnacentral:tRNA from 1 species
UGUCUAUAUAGUUUAACCAAAACACUAGACUGUGAACCUAGAAAUAGAAAAUAAUCUUAUAGACC